CUUCCUAGGACUCAGAACCUGUCUCUCUGGAAAACCUAAAUGAAAGCUUCCUAGGUAUGUUCCGGUAACAGUCUUCUCCCCUUGGGCACUUACCAAGUUCUAAUUUGUACCAUCAAUAUUUCUGUUUUGUAGGCCAACUCUUUACUUGAAUGUAAGCUUACGCUCUGCAAGGCCAAGGACUAUAUCUUGUUUAUCUUUUUCUUCCCUCAUUGGGUCCAACCUGUCGCCAAGUUCAUGGAAAGUACUUUUUGGUUGGUUUCAUGAUCAUUAUCUGUUCCUAGUGAGUCAGAAACAGGCUUAUUGGAACUUUCAAGAAUUAAAAACAAAAGGAAAGAGAAGGACAGUUGAAGAAGGAAAAGAAGAGGUUUUAUAUAUAUAGUCAAUUGCUUAAGUAGUUAAGUCCAUCAGAAAUAGCCACGAUUUAAAUUCCUGAGAGACGCGAUGGUAUAACAAGUGCCCGUUCUGUCUCGUAUUGUUACACAGAGCAGAUAUCUUAAUCCUAAAUAUUGUGAGUUUUUCUCCUAUUCUGGUUUUAUCUCUAACGAAUGACCUGCCCUUUGGUUGUUUGUGUUGGUCAGACAUGAGCUCCAUGUCCUAAACACAUGUAAAUUAUUAUGGAAUAGCCUCUCUAAACAACCAAGUUCUAGGAAAAUCAAAUCACAACUGUGAUAGUUUGGUAAGAAGAACUGAUGACCUUCGGCCUCAAAGCAGCGCAUCUGCAGCUUCUCGCAGGCACGGUUGGUGCGAAGCCUGGCUCUGUGAGUCCUGGGGGCGGCGGGAAUGGCCCUGCUCGUACCCCAGGGGUGGCUGGCUUUCCCAAGGAUGCGUUGGGGGAGCAGCAUCACUCUUAUCUUUUCUAAACACUGUGCAGGUCUGAGGUGAAUGUGACCUCAGUUCUUCCUUCUCCGAAUCAGUUCUGCUUAUAGAAUUCUAGGAUAAUCAUUUCGGUGAACGUGACUUUUAACCUGAAUACAAGACUCUGACAGACACUGGUGCUCAAGCUGGGUGAACUCAGCCCCAUGUCGCACAGCAAGCUGUUUCUCUGACGACAUCACUGAGGAAGGAUUCGAUGGAGACAGAGGAAAAGUAGACUUAAAUGGAGGUAUGUGAUGCAUAUACUUUGGAAGAGCCUUAAUGAGUCAGUGGGGCCCAGCCAUGGUUCAGUAGUAUUUCACCCAGAGAGGUGCUGCAUUUGGCAACAUGCAGAUUAGCAAAGUGGCACGUGAAGUUCCUGAGGUGUGGAUUCUAAGACCCAGCAUCGCUUGCCUGUGUGAGGAACUUGUCCUCAGCCGUGAACAAUUCCCCAACUUCCGAGCACACUCCAGGAUGCAAGAGAUCCCCAGACUGGGGUGAAGAUCGCUGGCGUCAGCCCCUCAAGUCAUCAGCCCCCAGCCCGAGGAACGGGCCGGAGGAGCCUUCCGCCUCUCACUGGCUGGGGUCUGAGUGACCACAUUGCUCCGGAUGGUGACCUCUGAUGGCAUCCCCAACUCCAAUGCCCCAGUGAGUCUGAGCUACAGCAAGCACGCCCCAGUGGAUUUAACAGUGCCAUUUGGGAACUGCCGGCCCUUACUCGUCCACAGACACGCUUGGGGCGUUUUCAAACAGACGUCCUCAGAGAAAGCUUUGGGGAUCAGACGAAGGCUCCCCGACCCGCCCUCCUGCCCAUGGCCUGCCUCUCAGAUGCCUGCCCUCGGGUCCCAGUGGUGUUGGGGCAUCUUCGAGGCUCUCGUGGAGGAGAUCAGCUUAAAUGACCCCAAAGGAGGCUGUUGGUGCCUAUCAGGAGAAUGGACAGAUUUAGAGAGACAGGAGUACAUCAAGGACCCCUAUAAAUAACUAUGAAGCUGCUGCUCGUGCAGAAUAAUCCUGAAGCAUGGCUCCAAACCCUCUUUUCCUUUUGGGAGGAAGGAGAAGUGUUUGGCGUUGGCAGAUCUUUUUGUUUUCCUUUUGGCCACACCUUGCAGCAUGCGGGAUCUCACUUCUCUGACUGGGGAUCGGAACCCUUGCCUCCCGCAGUUGAAAGUGCAGUCUUAACCGGUGAGCGCCGGGGAAGUCCCAGCGUCCGCAGACCUCGUCUUGACUUUAACCGAGUUAGGACACCUUCCUUCAAGAUGGUUCUCCUUCCCAGUCGAAAAGCACUAGAGACUUGGGCCCAGGAUGUUGGCCCACGGGGGCGCAGAUUUUAAUUCUUCACGUCCUUUCUCUCAUUAACCUGGUGGACUUUCUGGAAUUUAGAAGUAUGUGUUUUUUUUUUUUCUAUCCUAAUACACGUUAACUAACACUUAUAGGUAUACCAUUUGCUCAUGAACAUAUUUACAUUUUGAGAAGUCUUCUUCUUACCACCAAUUUGUGGAGAAGUGAAGCCCAGAAAUAAUUCAUAAUUCCCUUUAAAGCUUAUUAACUAUGGACCGCGCAUGCACAACGUAGGUGGUAGUUCACAUUGAUUUGAGAAUUGUCCAAAAAACUAUAAUUUUCCCAUGUAACUCAGAAAAAUGCCAGAGAAUCAUUCUGACAGCAUCCUAAACAGUAACUGAACAUAAAACACCGAUCACAGAUGUUAGCAUGUUAUUAUUUGUAAUGAGUUCUUCCGCUUCCCACUGGUUCCGACGCAGACAAUGGUUGAGGAUGGUCACUCUAACGUGACACUGUCAUGAACUGUUGGACCCCUAGGAAGAUGUUUCAGUCCCUGACAGUGAUGCAAUGAUUAUGCACCUUGAAAUCAUUCUCGAACAUCCAAUACAUUUUCCUACCUAGAUUUCAAUAUAAACCACUUCUGUUUCUCUUGGGAACCCUUUGGCUGAAACUCAAGGCCCUGCUCCAAUGCCAGAAUCUAACAUCUCCAUUUCAUCAGCUUUGAGUACGUUUAGAAAAUGUCGGAAUGCAUCACGACAACUUUAUGAUCACAUAAAGCCAGAAACAUCCUUCUAUAGUCUUUAGACACUCAGAAGAUUUAAUCAUGAAAAAGUAUCAGAUGCUUCUGAACGUGCCAAAAAUGCACAUUAUGGUCGUUUAGCCUAGUAUCUUAAUUUCUUCCCACAAAGGGAGAGGGGGCUUCCAGCCUGUGAGUUGUACAGUCCGUGCCUGGAUUCACUGUUUCCUUCUGUGUGAGAAUAUUCCAGGGCAUCUGACGAAAGACCAAAGGUGUACUUAAAACUCUCGAGUACUUCG